AGUAGUACAGUGUUCCCCGCUUAUCCGCGGUUUCACUUUUCGCGGUUGCAGUUAUCCACUGCCAGUCAUCCUCCGGAAACAGACGAUCCUCUUCAGAAUCAUGGUCAGAAGGUCCACAGUAGCCUCAUGGUAUGUUACAAGCCUACGUCAUUCACCUCACUUCAUCUCAUCGUGGUAGGCAUUCUACCAUCUCACAUCAUCACAAGAAGAAGGGGGAUCCUAAUGUCAAAAUCUCUUUCUGGAAUUUAUGAGAGGAUAAAAAGUAAUAUCUAAAAUAAAAACUGUCUAUCAAAAGUGAUGUAGAGGCUUCACAGUGGUGCAGGAGGGUGGACCCAGUCCCAACAGUCAGUAUGGAAAUAAAGGACUAUUUUAAAGAACACUGCUAGUGGGGGAGAGGAGCAGAAGAAGAGAGAGAGAGAAUCUCAAGCAGGCUCUGUGCUCAACAUGACCCUAAUGCAGGGCUCGAUCCCACAACCCUGGGAUUAUGCUCUGAGCCAAAAUCAAGAGCCAGAUGCUCAACUAACUGAGCCACCCAGGCACCCCAAUAUAUGCCACUUUAGAAUGUUGCCUAAUUUUGUCCCAAAAUGUCACCUUUCAUUUUCAUUCACUGCCUUCUCAUUUUAAAUCCAUAUAAAGUUUUAAAGAAAAAUAUUCUUCUAAUUUCUAUGUAUAU